CAUUCUAGAUCAGUGGUUCUUAACCUUGUUGGAGGUACUGACCCCCACCAGUUUCAUAUGCGCAUUCACUGAACCCUUCUUAAUUUGAAAAAUAAAAUAUGAUUUAUUCAAAUUCAAAACAUAGGUAUAUUUUUAUACAUAGGUGCACAAAAUGAACAAAACCAUUAAAGAACAAAA